rnacentral:rRNA from 1 species
GACGAACGCUGGCGGCGUGCUUAACACAUGCAAGUCGAACGGAGUUUCUUGGAUCAAGACUUCGGUCAAGUGAAUUGAAACUUAGUGGCGGACUGGUGAGUAACGCGUGAGGAACCUGCCUUUCAGAGGGGGACAACAGUUGGAAACGACUGCUAAUACCGCAUAAGACCACAGUAUGGCAUCAUACAGGGGUAAAAGAGUUAUGUAUCGGAUAUAGAUGGCCUCGCGUCCUAUUAGUUAGUUGGUGGGGUAACGGCCUACCAAGACCGCGAUAGGUAGCCGACCUGAGAGGGUGAUCGGCCACACUGGAACUGAGAUACGGACCAGACUCCUACGGGAGGCAGCAGUGGGGAAUAUUGGGCAAUGGAGGCAACUCUGACCCAGCAACGCCGCGUGAAGGAAGAAAGGCCUCGGGUUGUAAACGUUUAGUUGUUAGAUGACGAAGAAAGUAGACGGU